UACGUAGGGUGCAAGCGUUAAUCGGAAUUACUGGGCGUAAAGCGUGCGCAGGCGGUUCUAUAAGACAGAUGUGAAAUCCCCGGGCUCAACCUGGGAACUGCAUUUGUGACUGUAGAGCUGGAGUGCGGCAGAGGGGGAUGGAAUUCCGCGUGUAGCAGUGAAAUGCGUAGAUAUGCGGAGGAACACCGAUGGCGAAGGCAAUCCCCUGGGCCUGCACUGACGCUCAUGCACGAAGCGUGGGAGCAAACAG
rnacentral:rRNA from 1 species